ACAAGGCAGCAGGAGCAGAGAGCAGCCAUUGCUGUGUCUGGCAGCAGGAUUACACAGUAGUGAAGACAUCCAGUGAGUGUAAGACACCCAGCAGCUGUCCACUUGUGUCAGGAGGACUGAGCAGGACUCAGAGCCCCAUCACAGUGCCUCCACCUUACUCGCGGAUGCAUGAGAGACACAAUGACCAGAAGAUCCUGGAAAUCACCAACAAGAUCAUUCAGCUGCUGACUGGAGAGGAGGGGGGAGUAUAUAGAGGAACACAGGGGUCUGUACAAGGACGUGAUGAUGGAGAAUCACCGGCCCCUCACAUCACUGGAUGGGCCCAGUAACAGAGAUACCCCAGAGAGAUGUCCCCGUCCUCUGUAUUCCCAGUAUUGUACAGAGGAGACUCACAGGACCCCACA